rnacentral:tRNA from 1 species
GCAUUCGUGGUGUAACGGUAGCACACUAGACACGUAUUCGAGAGGCCCAGGUUCGAGUCCCGGCGAGGCCA